GUGGCCUAACCCCUUGUGGGAGGGAGCUGUCGAAGGUGGGAUUGGCGAUUGGGACGAAGUCGUAACAAGGUAGCCGUACCGGAAGGUGCGGCUGGAUCACCUCCUUUCUAAGGAG
rnacentral:rRNA from 1 species